CAUUAAUGGGUAAGCUUCGGCUAUAAACCCCCAAACCAUUGUGAACAAAGCUUUACGUAGCAGUUGCUUCGGCGGGUGGUUAUACCGUACCCCUCACGGGGUACCCGCCGGAGGCAAGCAAACUCUUGUUUUUAAUUAUCAUCUCUGAGUAACUUUUAAAUAAGUUAAAACUUUCAACAACGGAUCUCUUGGUUCUGGCAUCGAUGAAGAACGCAGCGAAAUGCGAUAAGUAAUGUGAAUUGCAGAAUUCAGUGAAUCAUCGAAUCUUUGAACGCACAUUGCGCCCGUCAGUAUUCUGGCGGGCAUGCCUGUUCGAGCGUCAUUUCAACCAUCAAGCCCUAGGCUUGUGUUGGGGCCCUGUGGCUGCCGCAGCCCCCUAAAAACAGUGGCGGACUCGCUGUCAUACUGAGCGCAGUAGUAUAUCUCGCUCUGGGCGUGACAGUGGGCACCGGCCGUUAAACACUUUACUAAGGUUGACCUCGGAUCAGGUAGGAAUACCCGCUGAACUUAAGCAUAUCAAUAAGCGGAG
rnacentral:rRNA from 1 species